GCAGACACACUCUGUUCUUUGCUGCUCUCUCCAGCAUCGGACUUUUUCUGUCUGCUACAUAAACGUGCAGAAUGUAACACGUAGCUGGUUUUCUGAAAAGCUGGUGACGCUAUGUUCUGCAACAUUACA